AUCGAUGAAGAACGCAGCGAAAUGCGAUAAGUAAUGUGAAUUGCAGAAUUCAGUGAAUCAUCGAAUCUUUGAACGCACCUUGCGCCCUUUGGUAUUCCGAAGGGCAUGCCUGUUUGAGUGUCAUUAAAUUAUCAACCUUGCUCGCUUUUAUUAGCUUGAGUUAGGCUUGGAUGUGAGGGUUUUGCUGGCUUCCUUCAGUGGAUGGUCUGCUCCCUUUGAAUGCAUUAGCGGGAUCUCUUGUGGACCGUCACUUGGUGUGAUAAUUAUCUAUGCCUUGAGACUUUGAAACAAACUUAUGAGAAUCUGCUUAUAACCGUCCUCACGGACAACUUUUGACAAUUUGACCUCAAAUCAGGUAGGACUACCCGCUGAACUUAAGCAUAUCAAUAAGCGGAGGAAAAGAAACUAACAAGGAUUCCCCUAGUAACUGCGAGUGAAGCGGGAAAAGCUCAAAUUUAAAAUCUGGCGGUCCUUGUGGCCGUCCGAGUUGUAAUUUAGAGAAGCGUUAUCCGCGCUGGACCGUACACAAGUCUCCUGGAAUGGAGCGUCAUAGAGGGUGAGAAUCCCGUCUUUGGUACGGACUGCCAGGGCAUUGUGAUGCGCUCUCAAAGAGUCGAGUUGUUUGGGAAUGCAGCUCAAAAUGGGUGGUAAAUUCCAUCUAAAGCUAAAUAUUGAGGAGAGACCGAUAGCGAACAAGUACCGUGAGGGAAAGAUGAAAAGAACUUUGGAAAGAGAGUUAAACAGUACGUGAAAUUGCUGAAAGGGAAACGCUUGAAGUCAGUCGCGUCGUUCAGGACUCAGCCUUGCUUUUGCUUGGUGUACUUCUUGUUCGACGGGUCAACAUCAAUUUUGGUCGGUGGAUAAAGGCUUGGAGAAUGUGGCAUCCUCGGAUGUGUUAUAGCUCUAGGUCGCAUACAUCGGCUGGGAUUGAGGAACUCAGCACGCCGCAAGGCCGGGUACUUGUACCACGUACGUGCUUAGGAUGUUGGCAUAAUGGCUUUAAUCGACCCGUCUUGAAACACGG
rnacentral:rRNA from 1 species